GGCCUGGUGGUGUAACGGUAACACACCCUCCUUCACUGCGAGGUGAUUGAAAAUACUGUUGCAGGGCGUUCCUUGUUCGAAUCAAGAUCAGGUCA